CCUACGGGAGGCAGCAGUGAGGAAUAUUGGUCAAUGGGCUUACGCCUGAACCAGCCAAGUCGCGUGAGGGAAGACUGCCCUAUGGGUUGUAAACCUCUUUUGUCAGGGAGCAAUUGGCGCUACGUGUAGCGUUAUCGAGAGUACCUGAAGAAAAAGCAUCGGCUAACUCCGUGCCAGCAGCCGCGGUAAUACGGAGGAUGCGAGCGUUAUCCGGAUUUAUUGGGUUUAAAGGGUGCGUAGGCGGAAUGCCAAGUCAGCUGUGAAAGUCCGCGGCUCAACCGUGGAAUUGCAGUUGAAACUGGAGGCCUUGAGUGCACACAGGGAUGCCGGAAUUCAUGGUGUAGCGGUGAAAUGCUUAGAUAUCAUGAAGAACUCCGAUCGCGAAGGCAAGUGUCCGGGGUGCAACUGACGCUGAGGCUCGAAAGUGCGGGUAUCAAACAGGAUUAGAUACCCCGGUAGUC
rnacentral:rRNA from 1 species